UACGAAGGGGGGCUAGCGUUGCUCGGAAUGACUGGGCGUAAAGGGCGCGUAGGCGGAUGGCACAGUCAGAUGUGAAAUUCCCGGGCUUAACCUGGGGGCUGCAUUUGAUACGUGUUGUCUGGAGUGAGGAAGAGGGUCGUGGAAUUCCCAGUGUAGAGGUGAAAUUCGUAGAUAUUGGGAAGAACACCCGUGGCGAAGGCGGCUCUCUGGGACGGUACUGACGCUGAGACGCGAAAGCGUGGGGAGCGAACAGG
rnacentral:rRNA from 1 species